UAUGUUCAUCUUCGCAUUGGACCUUAUGUUUGUGCAGAAUGGAAUUUCGGAGGGUUUCCUGAUUGGCUCAAGUAUGUUCCGGGCAUCAGUUUUAGAACAGACAAUGAACCUUUGAAGAGGGCAAUGCAAGGGUUCAUUGAGAAGAUUGUCGGAAUGAUGAAGAGUGAGAAACUCUAUGAAUCUCAGGGUGGCCCUAUCAUUCUUUCUCAGGUGUUG